GGUCCCGGGGCUCGCCGAGAGACUGGUUUUCCCUUCGGGGACUGGGACACAGGUGCUGCAUGGCUGUCGUCAGCUCGUGUCGUGAGAUGUUGGGUUAAGUCCCGCAACGAGCGCAACCCACGCCAUUAGUUGCCAUCAUUUAGUUGGGCACUCUAAUGGGACCGCCGGUGGUAAGCCGGAGGAAGGUGUGGAUGACGUCAAGUCCUCAUGGCCCUUACAGGGUGGGCUACACACGUGCUACAAUGGCGACUACAGAGGGUUGCAAGCCUGCGAAGGUGAGCCAAUCCCAAAAAGUCGUCUCAGUUCGGAUUGCACUCUGCAACUCGAGUGCAUGAAGUCGGAAUCGCUAGUAAUCGCGGAUCAGCAUGCCGCGGUGAAUACGUUCCCGAGACUUGUACACACCGAGAACAG
rnacentral:rRNA from 1 species